AAGCAAGAUCCCUUCCAGGAUUGUGGCUCUGCCUCAAAUACGUCUGUGAGAUGAAGUUAAACGUCUUAAUAAUAUUUGCUCUUUUGACAAGGGCAGUUAGUCCAUGCGCUAGAUUACUUUGCCAAGAAUGUGUACUUAAGUACAAGGAAAUUGUGAGGCUUCACGAUUCUUUUACUGUUGUUUUUUGUCAGUCAACACCAAAGAUCACAAGGACGAGUGAACGCCCUUCUAGUUUUCAGCAUGCAUUAAUACAACAUGUAAAAAUGAAGUGUAAUUCAGAACUGAAGCCUCAAGUCUCAAGCCUCAGGAGGGCUGUGCUGGCAGCUGUGAGUGAAUGCCACAUGCUGGAAUGGGAAUGCCGGAACGUAUGUUCUCCAGAGCCCGGCAUACCCCUCAGUUUUUCAAUCUUUCAAAUUAAACAGAUCAUGUAUAUUUUUGCAGCCAGACCUGUGCCUUGUAACCUUCUUCAGGUUGUUACUAUCUUGAAAUAUACAAAACUAAAUAAAGGAAAGAAGCUGGAUUUUGUUUGUGGGCAAAGGACAUUUGAUGAGCAUGGAAAAGCUGCGCUAAUAGAUCAGAAUGAAACUAAUGGCAUUAUUUCCAUGUGCCCACAAUGCUUUGCUCUUUGUGUUAAGAGUUUGCAUGUCCAGACUGCAUGUAAAUGCAAGGCCGUUGCCAAAAUCAAUGACACUGUUGUGCUGCCUGAGUGC
rnacentral:lncRNA from 1 species